rnacentral:rRNA from 1 species
UUAAAAUGUAAAUUUAUAAAACUUAGGUAGUAAUAGUUAUGUUCUUGAAACUUAAAAAAUUUGGCGGUAUUUUAGUCUAUUCAGAGGAACCUGUUUUAUAAUCGAUAAUCCACGAUGGACCUUACUUAAAUUUGUAAUCAGUUUAUAUAUCGUUGUUAUUAGAAUAUUUUAUAAGAAUGUUAAUUUUCAAAAUUUUAUAAAAGAAAAUAUAUCAGAUCAAGGUGUAGCUUAUAUUUAAGUAAAAAUGGGUUACAAUAAAAUUAUUUAUACGGCUAUAAAUUUGAAAUGUUUAUUAAAGGUGGAUUUGAUAGUAAAAUUAUAAAGAUUAAUAAUUUGAUUUUAGCUCUAAAAUAUGU